rnacentral:rRNA from 1 species
UACGGAGGGAGCUAGCGUUGUUCGGAUAUACUGGGCGUAAAGCGCACGUAGGCGGCGCGGUAAGUCAGGGGUGAAAUCCCGGAGCUCAACUCCGGAACUGCCCUUGAAACUGCAGUGCUAGAAUCCUGGAGAGGCGAGUGGAAUUCCGAGUGUAGAGGUGAAAUUCGUAGAUAUUCGGAAGAACACCAGUGGCGAAGGCGACUCGCUGGACAGGUAUUGACGCUGAGGCGCGAAAGCGUGGGGAGCAAACAGG